rnacentral:rRNA from 1 species
UACGGAGGGUGCAAGCGUUAGUCGGAAUUACUGGGCGUAAAGGGUGCGUAGGCGGGGAUGUAAGUCAGAUGUGAAAUACCGUUGCUCAACAACGGCCGUGCAUCUGAAACUGCGUUUCUAGAGGGAUAGCGGAGAAAACGGAAUUCCAUGUGUAGCGGUGAAAUGCGUAGAUAUAUGGAAGAACACCUGUGGCGAAAGCGGUUUUCUAGCUCAACCCUGACGCUGAGGCACGAAAGCAAGGGGAGCAAACAGG